GAGUUUGAUCAUGGCUCAGAUUGAACGCUGGCGGCAUGCCUUACACAUGCAAGUCGAACGGCAGCACGGGAGCAAUCCUGGUGGCGAGUGGCGAACGGGUGAGUAAUACAUCGGAACGUGCCCAAUCGUGGGGGAUAACGCAGCGAAAGCUGUGCUAAUACCGCAUACGAUCUACGGAUGAAAGCAGGGGACCGCAAGGCCUUGCGCGAAUGGAGCGGCCGAUGGCAGAUUAGGUAGUUGGUGAGGUAAAGGCUCACCAAGCCUUCGAUCUGUAGCUGGUCUGAGAGGACGACCAGCCACACUGGGACUGAGACACGGCCCAGACUCCUACGGGGCGCAGCAGA
rnacentral:rRNA from 1 species